rnacentral:miRNA from 1 species
GCCCCAUCGAUUAACUGCUUCC